AUUUUAGUGAAUUAGCGUUGUCCUGGCAAAUCUACGCCUGUCGAAGUGUUGCGCUGUGAGCGAAGCCGUCGCUGGCGAAUUUUCUGAGGUUAGUAAAUUUGCCCCUAUGAAUUGAGAGCACAAUUUGAUGCAUAGGAUCAGCCUUGCUUUUUUCAUAUUUCACAGUCAUGUGUCAAGUGUCCUUUUCUGUCCAUAAAUAGCUCUCAUUAUGAACUGUAAAUCAUUCUUCCCCUUUCCUCUAUCCAUUGUUCACUAAUACAAUGUCUACUUUUGCAUUGUAAAUCUAGAAAGCUGCUAUCAAGGGAAUCAGCCAAGUUGUAAUUUCCAGAAUAGCCAUGGCCGCCCCUGGGAUGAUUCUCUUACCGAUCUUGAUGGAAAGGCUGGAGUCUUUUCCCUUUAUGAAA